AUUUAGCUUGUUGUUGCCGCUGAAGAAUAAUUUAAAAUAAUUUAUCUCUAAUUUCUCCCUGUAGAGCCUGGUCACCACUCCUCGUCCCAGCCGCUGUCAAAGACUUCCAGCUCUGUGUCUCUCUACAGCACGGGGUCAGAGGGCACCGCCAUCUUUGGUCAAUCAAACGGAGCCUCUGCCUCGUCCUCCACCAAUGACCUGGCUGCUUCUCUGCUCUCUGCGCUGCAGGCCGAUGGCCUGGAGAACUUUAACCCCUUCCUCCCCAUCAACCUCCUGCAGCGGAUGGUGUUAGCACGGUUCCCUACCCUGGCCGGCCUGGUUAAUAACCCCCCCAUGUUGCACGGUCCUGGCCCAGGCUUCGGCCUUGCCACCUCGUCUUCCUGUGAGGGCUUCACAGAGCAGCAGACCAGCUUCAUGGAGCCCUGCGCUAAUUCUCAGGCCAGGAGCCGUGGCGCGGGUAAGAAAAACAAAUACAUGGAAGAUUGAAGGCAAUUUGGCUGGGUUUAGACAGGCAGCCCAAUUCUGAUUUUUUUUUUGCCCAAUUAGUGGCAAAAGAUCUGAUCUGAUUGGUUAAAAGACCAAUUAGUGGCAAAAGAUCAGAAUUGUGCUGCAUGUGUAAACAGCCUUUUAUGGUGUGCUGCCCAUCUCAUUCAAUAAGAGAACCAGUCACACAGCAACACGGACCAACUAGCCUGGUCCCAGAUAUGUUUACAGUUGGCUAUACAGCGCAGACAGAUCUGAGAUCAGGCUAUAGAUCAACUCCGCUCCGUCACUAACAAGACAGAAUAGAUACUGCAUUGCUCACGGGGAACUUUAUGUCUGCUUGUUGCAUGUCAUGGCAUGUUGAAUGACAUGUCCGGCUAAUGUUCAUUGUCCAGCUGGUUAUUUCUGUUAUGGGUGCUUGAUUUUGACAACCAGAGCUUGUGUAUUUGUAUAUGAAGAGUUGAUUGAUUGCAUGCAUGAAAUCAGUUUGUCAUCUACUCACAUUGCUUGA
rnacentral:lncRNA from 1 species